rnacentral:misc_RNA from 1 species
GCAGUCUAUCUGUUUCUGCGUGCAUGUGCACGUAUGCUGAUAGCAGUCCCUACUAGCUGCUACAUUUGUCCACAGCGACAAACAAGAUGAUAAUAUUCUUCAAACUACUUCAGAUGGAAUCCAAUCAUUCCGUUUGGUUGCUGAAACUUAAUUGAAAAGCUGAAAAUCAUAAUUCCUUUCCAGUUCUCCACAUUUUAAAUAAUCCGUCCAACAAGCACAUGAAAAGGAGGAGAAGAAUCAAGGUGGAGAAGAAAGAGAAGGAACUUGCAUGAGACAAAAAGAGUAUAAAUGGGUUGGACUGUUUGAUUGGAUUAGAGCAAGCAAAGGGAUUUUUGAG